rnacentral:rRNA from 1 species
CCUACGGGCGGCAGCAGUGGGGAAUAUUGCACAAUGGGGGAAACCCUGAUGCAGCGACGCCGCGUGAAGGAAGAAGUACUUCGGUAUGUAAACUUCUAUCAGCAGGGAAGAAAAUGACGGUACCUGACUAAGAAGCCCCGGCUAACUACGUGCCAGCAGCCGCGGUAAUACGUAGGGGGUCAGCGUUAUCCGGAUUUACUGGGUGGAAAGGGAGCGUAGGGGGUUUAGCAAGUCAGAAGUGAAAGCCCGGGGCUCAAAUCCGGUACUGCUUUUGAAACUGUUGAACUAGAGUGCAGGAGAGGUAAGUGGAAUUCCUAGUGUAGCGGUGAAAUGCGUAGAGAUUAGGAGGAACACCAGUGGCGAAGGCGGCUUACUGGACUUUAAAUGACGCUGAGGCUCGAAAGCGUGGGGAGCAAACAGGAGUAGAUACCCCUGUAGUC